rnacentral:rRNA from 1 species
AACAGGAUUAGAUACCCUGGUAGUCCAUGCCGUAAACGAUGUCUACUAGCCGUUGGGGCCUUUGAGGCUUUAGUGGCGCAGCUAACGCGAUAAGUAGACCGCCUGGGGAGUACGGUCGCAAGACUAAAACUCAAAUGAAUUGACGGGGGCCCGCACAAGCGGUGGAGCAUGUGGUUUAAUUCGAUGCAACGCGAAGAACCUUACCUGGCCUUGACAUACUAGAAACUUUCCAGAGAUGGAUUGGUGCCUUCGGGAAUCUAGAUACAGGUGCUGCGUGGCUGUCGUCAGCUCGUGUCGUGGGAUGUUGGGUUAAGUCCCGCAACGAGCGCAACCCUUUUCCUUACUUGCCAGCAUUUCGGAUGGGAACUUUAAGGAUACUGCCAGUGACAAACUGGAGGAAGGCGGGGACGACGUCAAGUCAUCAUGGCCCUUACGGCCAGGGCUACACACGUGCUACAAUGGUCGGUACAAAGGGUUGCUACACAGCGAUGUGAUGCUAACCUCAAAAAGCCGAUCGUAGUCCGGAUUGGAGUCUGCAACUCGACUCCAUGAAGUCGGAAUCGCUAGUAAUCGCGGAUCAGAAUGCCGCGGUGAAUACGUUCCCGGGCCUUGUACACGCCGCCCGUCACACCAUGGGAAUUUGUUGCACCAGAAGUAGGUAGUCUAACCGCAAGGAGGACGCUUACCACGGUGUGGCCGAUGACUGGGGUGAAGUCGUAACAAGGUAACC